GACGAACGCUGGCGGCGUGCUUAACACAUGCAAGUCGAACGGUGAACCAGAGCUUGCUCUGGGGAUCAGUGGCGAACGGGUGAGUAACACGUGGGCAACCUGCCCCAGACUCUGGGAUAACUCCGGGAAACCGGAGCUAAUACCGGAUAUGACUACUUCGGACAUCCGACGGUAGUGGAAAGUUUUUCGGUCUGGGAUGGGCCCGCGGCCUAUCAGCUAGUUGGUGGGGUAAUGGCCUACCAAGGCGACGACGGGUAGCCGGCCUGAGAGGGCGACCGGCCACACUGGAACUGAGACACGGUCCAGACUCCUACGGGAGGCAGCAGUGGGGAAUAUUGCACAAUGGGCGAAAGCCUGAUGUAGCGACGCCGCGUGAGGGACGA
rnacentral:rRNA from 1 species